UGGGGAAUAUUGCUCAAUGGGGGAAACCCUGAUGCAGCGACGCCGCGUGAACGAAGAAGGUAUUCGUAUCGUAAAGUUCUGUCCUAUGGGAAGAUAAUGACAGUACCAUAGAAGAAAGCUCCGGCUAAAUACGUGCCAGCAGCCGCGGUAAUACGUAUGGAGCGAGCGUUGUCCGGAAUUAUUGGGCGUAAAGGGUACGCAGGCGGUUUAAUAAGUCGAAUGUUAAAGAUCGGGGCUCAACCCCGCAAAGCAUUGGAAACUGAUAAACUUGAGUAGUGGAGAGGAAAGUGGAAUUCCUAGUGUAGUGGUGAAAUACGUAGAUAUUAGGAGGAAUACCAGUAGCGAAGGCGACUUUCUGGACACAAACUGACGCUGAGGUACGAAAGCGUGGGGAGCAAACAGG
rnacentral:rRNA from 1 species